GUACGACCAAUUGCAGCCGAUCUAGAUUUUUUUGAAAUAAUAGGUAUUUCAUGACAUAUGGAAAACACGCGAGCGCGUCGCGCAUUUUUUGUCGAUAGUUAGAAAAUGGCGACUCAAAUAAAAAAAUAGUUCAAAUAAAAGUUGUAGACGAUUCAAUUACGAACAAUUUCCGUUUUUUUUUUUUCGAUACGAUCAGUAUUGACAGAGAUAUGAAUUUUUUAAACAUUUAUUAUCGCGCGGUCAAUAUGACUGAAAAGCAUUAUCGCAAUAAAUGGUAUUAAAUGAAAUAAUAAUUAAUUAAUUAAUUAUUAAUAUGUGAAUUAUGAAUAAUAUGUACAUAAUUUAUGAUGACUUGAUGAAAUAUAAUGGUUUGCAAGUAA